rnacentral:rRNA from 1 species
UACGAAGGGUGCAAGCGUUACUCGGAAUUACUGGGCGUAAAGCGUGCGUAGGUGGUUGGUUAAGUCUGUCGUGAAAGCCCUGGGCUCAACCUGGGAACUGCGAUGGAAACUGGCCGACUAGAAUGUGGUAGAGGGUAGCGGAAUUCCUGGUGUAGCAGUGAAAUGCGUAGAUACCGGGAGGAACAUCCAUGGCGAAGGCAGCUACCUGGGCCAACAUUGACACUGAGGCACGAAAGCGUGGGGAGCAAAC